AUGUCAAUGGUGGACGAGCAGUACGACGCUGGCCCGCCCCAGGCGCCGCACGGGCUGCUGCUGGCGGUCGUGGUGGGGCUGCUGGUUGUGUGGCCGCUUUUCCUGGGUCGCGGCGGCGAGGCGGUCACCGAUGCCAUCGCCAAUGCCAUCGCCGAGCUGCUCGGCCCCGUGGGCCUGCUCCUCCUCCCGGUGGGGCUCCUCCUCCUCAUCCACCUCCUGUCCUCCGACGCCGCGCCCGACGCCCUGCACCACGUCGCGGGAUCCCCCAUCGGCGUGGCGCUCAUGUUGGUCCUCAUCCUCGCCUUCCUCUACUACCGGUCGGCGCUCUUCCGCAGCGGCGGAGACGACGACGAGUAG
rnacentral:rRNA from 1 species